AAUCGUUCGGGUAAACGAGGUAUGGUUCUGUUAUACAACUCUGUUAAUAGCAGCAACUUGCUCUAGUUUUUAUGUUGCGCCGAACGGCGAAUUAGAAUUAAGUGAUCCAAAGGAAAUUCUUAAAAUGGCAAAAAUCACUGGUACUGUAAAGUGGUUCAACGAAUCUAAAGGUUUUGGUUUUAUUACUCCAGCUGAUGGUAGCAAAGAUGUGUUUGUACAUUUUAGCGCUAUUCAGAGCGAGGGUUUUAAAACUUUGGCCGAAGGUCAAAAAGUUGAGUUUGAAAUUCAGGACGGUCAGAAAGGUCCUUCAGCAGCAAACGUUACAGCAGCAUAACUUCUUUUUGUCAAUCAUUUUGGAUUGACGAAGUAA
rnacentral:sRNA from 1 species